UUAAGUGACGAUAGCCUAGGAGAUACACCUGUACCCAUGCCGAACACAGCAGUUAAGCCCUAGAACGCCGGAAGU
rnacentral:rRNA from 1 species